rnacentral:hammerhead_ribozyme from 1 species
AAGCGAAACCCGGCGGGGCUGGAUGCCCCGCCGGUUCGUCCCGGCGUGGUGGCCGGGGCCUGACGAUGCCAGCCAGCA